rnacentral:rRNA from 1 species
AACGAACGCUGGCGGCAGGCUUAACACAUGCAAGUCGAGCGCCCCGCAAGGGGAGCGGCAGACGGGUGAGUAACGCGUGGGAACGUACCCUUUGCUACGGAAUAGCUCCGGGAAACUGGAAUUAAUACCGUAUGUGCCCUACGGGGGAAAGAUUUAUCGGCAAAGGAUCGGCCCGCGUUGGAUUAGCUAGUUGGUGGGGUAAUGGCCUACCAAGGCGACGAUCCAUAGCUGGUCUGAGAGGAUGGUCAGCCACAUUGGGACUGAGACACGGCCCAAACUCCUACGGGAGGCAGCAGUGGGGAAUAUUGGACAAUGGGCGCAAGCCUGAUCCAGCCAUGCCGCGUGAGUGAUGAAGGCCUUAGGGUUGUAAAGCUCUUUCACCGGAGAAGAUAAUGACGGUAUCCAGAGAAGAAGCCCCGGCUAACUUCGUGCCAGCCGCCGCGGUAAAAC